CUUCAGGGGGCUUUCCAGGCCCCGAGGCCCGCUGCUGGUUGCUCUCCUCCCAAACUGACCUCAUCUUUCACCACUUCCCGCUUCCGGCUCUCUGUUCCUAUGGCUGGUUUCCUAAGACGCCCUGCCCUCCUGUCUCAAGCCUCUUCCCGGUUCGGCUACCCCUUCCGAAACAGGCUCCCCUAGAGCGGGUUGCCUUCAAGACGCAGAUCAAGGGCCACUGCUUGCCAAGACGGCUUCGUGGAAAUCCACACCCUUCCAACCUGGGUCAGGUUAACCGAAGUUUCGAGGUCAAGGGGAAGCUUUCACCGGUAGGAUGAGGGAGCCUGGGAGAGGGGGCGCAGGCUCUUCUCCUGGUGGCUCAGGCACCCUGAUGCCCACAUCUGACCUUCCAAUCAUGAUGGGAACCAGGAUCGGCCUCCUCCUGGUGCUGGCGCUAGCUUCCUCUCUCUGCUUCAACUUGGACACAGACCAGCCGACAAUUUUCCGUGUGGACAGUGCUGGGUUUGGACACAGCGUGGUCCAGUAUGCCAACUGGCUGGUGGUUGGCGCCCCCCAGGAGGUAAGGGCUGCCAACCAAACAGGUGGUCUCUACCGGUGUGACUAUAGUACGAGCCUAUGUGAGGCCAUCCACCUGCAGGUACCCCCAGAGGCUGUGAACAUGUCCCUGGGCCUGUCCAUGGCGGCCACCACCAAGCCCUUUCAGCUGCUGGCCUGUGGCCCCACCGUGCAGCAUGCAUGCCAGGAGAACAUGCACCUGACCGGGUUCUGCUUCCUGCUCGUCUCCCAGUCUCAGCAGGCCCAGAGGAUCCCAGCUGCCCUGCAGGAGUGCCCAAGGCAGGAGCAGGACAUCGCCUUCCUGAUCGACGGCUCAGGCAGCAUCGAUUACGAAGAUUUUACCAAAAUGCUAAACUUCGUGAGGGCUGUGAUUUCGCAGUUCCGGACUUCCAACGCCCAGUUCGCCCUGGUGCAGUUCUCCAGCAAGUUCAAGGAGCACUUCACUUUCAGAGCCUUUGCAGCCAGCUCAAACCCCCUAAGACUACUGAGUUCUAUACAGCAGCUAGGAGGGUACACGCACACGGCCUCAGCCAUCAGGAAGGUCACAAGGGAACUGUUCAUUGCUGCAAAGGGAGCCCGAAAAGAUGCCUCCAAAAUCCUCAUCGUCAUCACGGACGGGCAGAAAACAGGCGACCCCUUGGGUUACAAGGAUGUCAUCCCCCAGGCUGAGGCCGCUGGCAUCAUCCGCUAUGCAAUUGGGGUGGGAUCCGCUUUUCAACAUCCAAAAUCCUUGGAAGAAUUAAAGGACAUUGCAUCGAAGCCCUCGCAUAUAUUUAAAGUGGACAACUUUGAUGCUUUGAGAGAUGUUCAAAACCAACUGAAAGAGAAGAUCUUUGCCAUUGAGGGGACUCAGACGAUCAGCAGUAGCUCCUUCGAGUUGGAGAUGUCCCAGGAGGGCUUCAGUGCUGUGUUCAUGCCUGACGGACCGGUUCUGGGGGCUGUGGGGAGCUUCAGCUGGUCUGGAGGUGCCUUCCUGUACCCCGAACAUAGGAGCCCCGCCUUCAUCAACAUGUCUCGGGAGAACGUGGACAUGAGGGACUCGUACCUGGGUUACUCGGCAGAGCUGGUCAUCUGGAAAGGGGUACAGAGCCUGGUCCUGGGGGCCCCGCGCCAUCAGCACACCGGGAAGGCGGUCAUCUUCACCCAGGUGUCCAGACAGUGGAAGCCGAAGGCUGCAGUCGCAGGGACCCAGGUCGGCUCCUACUUUGGGGCCUCCCUCUGCUCCGUGGACGUGAACAGAGAUGGCAGCUCCGACCUGGUCCUCAUCGGGGCCCCCCAUUACUAUGAGCAGACCCGGGGGGGCCAGGUGUCCGUGUGUCCCUUGCCCCAGGGGAGGGCUAAGUGGCAGUGCCGGGUCAUCCUCCGAGGGGAGCAAGGCCACCCCUGGAGCCGCUUUGGGGCAGCCCUGACAGCACUGGGGGAUGUGAAUGGGGACAGACUGACGGACGUGGCCAUUGGAGCACCGGGGGAGCAGGACAACCGGGGUGCUGUCUACCUGUUUCACGGAACCUCGGAGCUGAGCAUCAGCCCCUCCCACAGCCAGCGGGUCGCAGGCUCCCAGCUCUCCCCCAGGCUCCAGUAUUUCGGCCGUUCGCUGAGUGGGGGCCAGGACCUCACCAUGGAUGGACUGGUGGACUUGGCCGUGGGGGCCCAGGGGCAUGCACUGCUGCUCAGGAGCAGACCCGUGCUCAGGGUUUGGGCAAACAUCCGCAUCCUACCCAAAGAGAUCACCAGGUCGCUGUUUGAGUGUCCGUGGCACACGAGCUCCGUCCAGGAUCUGGGGAAUGCCACUGUCUGCCUCCAGAUUUAUGAAAGUCCUAAGACCCGUCUGGGUGACCUCCAGAGCUCUGUGACCUUUGACCUGACCCUCGACCCUGGCCGCCUGAGUCCUCGUGCCGUCUUCAAGGAGACAAAAACUCGGAAUCUGACUCGUGUUCAAGUCCUGGGGCUGUCAGAGCACUGCGAGACUGUGAGGUUGCUCCUUCCGGCCUGCGUGGAGGACUCGAUGGCCCCUGUCGUCCUGCGUCUCAACUACUCCCUGGUGGGCAAGCCCAUCCCUGGCUUCGGAAAGCUCCAGCCCAUGCUGGCAGUGGACGCCGAGAGAUACUUCACGGCCUUGCUCCCCUUCGAGAAGAACUGUGGCGCUGACCACGUCUGCCAGGACGACCUGAGCAUCACCUUUGGGGUCUCGGGCUUGAAGACCCUGGUAGUGGGGAGUAACCUUGAGCUGGACUUGGAAGUGACAGUGCGGAAUGAUGGCGAGGACUCCUAUGGAACCACAAUCACCUUCUUCUACCCGCCAGGGUUGUCUUACCGACGUGUGACAGAGGCCCAGAACCAGCGGCAGCCACGCUCCCUGCUCGUGAACUGUGACAGCACCCCCACCCAGAGCCAGGGCCCCCGAAGCACUCGCUGUGGCCUCAACCACUUCAUCUUCCGGGAGGGCGCCCAGGUCACCUUCGUGGUCACCUUUGAUGUCAACCCCAAGGCCCAGCUGGGAGACCGGCUGCUCCUCACGGCCAAUGUGAGCAGUGAGAACAACACCCCCAGGACCAGCAAGACCACCUUCCGGCUGGAGCUCCCGGUGAAGUAUGCGGUCUACCCCGUGAUCAGCAGCCACGAACAAUCCACCAAGUAUCUCAACUUCUCGGCCUCAGAGGAGGGGCGCAGGAGCCAGGCCCAGCACAGAUACCAGGUGAACAACCUGGGACAGAGGGACCUGCCUGUCAGCAUCGCCUUCUCAGUGCCCGUGGAGCUGAACCGGGUGGCCGUGUGGACAGACGUGGAGAUCUUCCACCCCCAGAACCCGUCCAUUCAGUGCUCUUCGGAGAGGACCUCAGCCACGGAGUCCGACGUCCUGACCCACUUUAAGAAGAAUCCUGUGCUGAACUGCUCCAUGGCCGACUGCCUGAGGUUCCGCUGUGACGUCCCCUCCUUCGGCGUCCAGGAGGAACUUGACUUCAGCCUGAGGGGCAACCUCAGCUUUGACUGGAUCAGCCAGACGGCGCAGAAGAAGGUGCUGGUCGUGAGCGUGGCCGAAAUCACCUUUGACAGAUCCGUGUAUUCCCAGCUUCCAGGACAGGAGGCGUUUUUGAGAGCCCAGAUGGAGAUGGUGCUGGAAGAGUAUGAGGUCCAUAACCCCGUCCCCCUGAUCGUGGGCAGCUCCGUGGGAGGACUGCUGCUGCUGGUUCUCAUCACAGCCGUGCUGUACAAGGUUGGCUUCUUCAAACGUCAGUACAAGGAAAUGAUGGAAGGAGCAAAUGGACAGACCGUCCCACCAAGUGGGACAGGAGACCCCCAAGUGGCCCAAUAAGAAACUCCCUCCUGUUUGCCUUUGCACCUGCAUUCCUGGCCUCUUACUCUCCCCCAAGUCAAGCCUGAUGGGGAGCAGGCGCUCCCCCCGGAGGGAGGCCACCAUCAGGCUGCUCUCUCUUGGGAGGAUGCGGUGUGUUUGCACGAAGCACCUUGCCUGGGAAGGGCCAUUGGUCUCAUCAAGGCUCCAACUGGAAACUCCAGGACAGGAGCCCAGCUGUGGCCCCCCCACCCCACCCCCCAGGACUUAACUUGGAAUUUCCACCUAGAAGGACAUGCGCCAUAGCCUCAGGCACUAGUCUCUCCUCCUCCACCAGCCGCCGUGGUCUUUGCGCAGCACAGGACUGAACAAGGGCCUCAUCCUCAGCCGUCUUCAGCGGCUCCCCCAUUUCUCGCAGGGUAACUUCUGCCCCCUCUAGCUUGAUGUUAGGAAUGCAAUGCCAUUUCCAGAGGCUGGCUCUGGACGCACAGCACGAGAUGGGCUGGGCCGCUCUGUCACCCCCAUUUCUGGUAGAAUACUGGGCUCCUAGGUUUGCCCUCUGCAUCUGGGCUCCUGUUGCACACACGGAUGUGGGCAUGAAACACCUGCACAUUGGAACUUGUACAUUUGGCUUCCAAUAUUGCUGGCUGGGAGGUAAGAGUGACCCCCACCCCACCCCCCGCCAAAAGGGGCGCUGUCCUGAUGCCCCUUUGCCCAGCCAGCUCCAGGGUCUCUCGCAGACCACUUUCAAUUUUGAGGCGUCAAAUACAGUAAAUGAGAAAUGCCAGAACAUGCUGAUAAUUCUGUAUUUUAAAUGUUUGCAUCAACCAAUGAACAACUAUACACACACACAACACAUGCAUGUACGUUUACUAGUGAUUCAUCAAAAGUCUAACAUGAAGGCCUUGGAGUUCCCUGGUGGCUCAGCAGGUUAAGGACCUGGUGUUGUCUGUCACUGCUGUGGCACGGGUUCCAUCCCUGACCCAGGAACUUCCGUGUAUCUUGGGAAGGGAAAAAAAAUUAAGGCCUUUUGUGGAGAUGAGUCUUGGACAAUGACAUGCAGGCAACAGUGCUGUUUUGACACACAAUUUUCCUUUGUACAUUAUUGCUUACCUUCAUCAUACUUGCAUUUUUCAUGAAUGCUAUCAUGUUCUAUUUUUUAAAUUAAAGCAUUGUAUUAUAUCAUGUUGCAUUAUGUCCCCAAAUCACAAAAAUGGAUCAAUGCACAAAAAUUAAUUUUUGUGAUUAAACAUAAGUGUUGUGAAUAAAAAAUUAAAACCUAAUUGGGGCAACUUAGCCUAAGGUCAUCAAAAUUAAUACUGAAUGAAAUUCCAGUGCGCAUUUUCUGUACAAAUAUCUGAAUGCUGAGAUGAGUGACUGUGAGCCAAGAAAUUAAACUGUAUCUAUAAUUCA